GAUGAAGAACGCAGUGAAAUGCGAUACGUAAUGUGAAUUGCAGAAUUCAGUGAAUCUUCGAGUCUUUGAACGCACAUUGCGCCCCCUGGUAUUCCGGGGGGCAUGCCUGUCCGAGCGUCAUUGCUGCCCUCAAGCACGGCUUGUGUGUUGGGCCUCCGUCCUCCUCCCGGGGGACGGGCCCGAAAGGCAGCGGCGGCACCGCGUCCGGUCCUCGAGCGUAUGGGGCUUCGUCACCCGCUCUUGUAGGCCCGGCCGGCGCUUGCCGACACAUCAAUCUUUUUUCCAGGUUGACCUCGGAUCAGGUAGGGAUACCCGCUGAACUUAAGCAUAUCAAUAAGCGGAGGA
rnacentral:misc_RNA from 1 species